GGUGGCCCUGGAAGGGCCCAAGGGCACCACAGUAGCCCUGCGAGGAGCUCCUGCUAAAACACUUCACCGGACAGGGCCUUGGAGGCCCCGCCCCCACAGGGAUGGAGGGGGCUACACAGGGAGGUGGCCCCUUGGCACCAAGCUCAGACCAUCAGAAAAGCCACAAUAUGACAGUCACAUCACAAUCACCUUUGUUUAACUCCCGUGAUUCACCCUGACCACUUGCUGACAGUCCCUCGCAGCUCUGUCAGAAGAGGAGCCAAGCCUGGGUACGUUGGCAGCCCCGGGGGACUGAGGAGAGCGUGCCCUGCCA
rnacentral:lncRNA from 10 species